AUUGAACGCUGGCGGCAUGCCUUACACAUGCAAGUCGAACGGCAGCACGGGAGCAAUCCUGGUGGCGAGUGGCGAACGGGUGAGUAAAGUAUCGGAACGUGCCCAGUCGUGGGGGAUAACGUAGCGAAAGUUACGCUAAUACCGCAUACGAUCUAUGGAUGAAAGCGGGGGAUCGCAAGACCUCGCGCGAUUGGAGCGGCCGAUAUCAGAUUAGGUAGUUGGUGGGGUAAAGGCUCACCAAGCCGACGAUCUGUAGCUGGUCUGAGAGGACGCCCAGCCACACUGGGACUGAGACACGGCCCAGUCUCCUACGGGAGGCAGCAGUGGGGAAUUUGGGACAAUGGGCGAAAGCCUGAUCCAGCCAUGCCGCGUGCAGGAUGAAGGCCUUCGGGUUGUAAACUGCUUUUGUACGGAACGAAAAGGUUUGGCCUAAUAAGCUGAGCUCAUGACGGUACCGUAAGAAUAAGCACCGGCUAACUACGUGCCAGCCGCCGCGGUAA
rnacentral:rRNA from 1 species